CGAUGAAAACCUUUUUUCUGAGGUGUGGCUCGCACCUGUCCAACUAAACUUGAGCUACCCAAUUUCAACACGGUUGCAUCGGUUGGCUGUCAAACAGUGCCUCGGCGCUGGGAGGCGGUCGACACACAACACAAACACUUUUGAUGAUCUAGGAUUUUGAAUGAAGUUCAUUUUUAUGAUGGAACCGACUGGUAAUGCGGUCGUCUAAAUCUAAAAAA
rnacentral:misc_RNA from 1 species